rnacentral:tRNA from 1 species
AAAAAUUUAGUUAAUCCCAUAACAUUAGUUUGUCAAGCUAAAAUAACCCUUAAAGGGGUAAUUUUUA